AUGAACGCUGGCGGCGUGCCUAAUACAUGCAAGUCGAGCGAACAGACGAGGAGCUUGCUCCUCUGACGUUAGCGGCGGACGGGUGAGUAACACGUGGAUAACCUACCUAUAAGACUGGGAUAACUUCGGGAAACCGGAGCUAAUACCGGAUAAUAUAUUGAACCGCAUGGUUCAAUAGUGAAAGACGGUUUUGCUGUCACUUAUAGAUGGAUCCGCGCCGCAUUAGCUAGUUGGUAAGGUAACGGCUUACCAAGGCAACGAUGCGUAGCCGACCUGAGAGGGUGAUCGGCCACACUGGAACUGAGACACGGUCCAGACUCCUACGGGAGGCAGCAGUAGGGAAUCUUCCGCAAUGGGCGAAAGCCUGACGGAGCAACGCCGCGUGAGUGAUGAAGGUCUUCGGAUCGUAAAACUCUGUUAUUAGGGAAGAACAGAUGUGUAAGUAACUAUGCACGUCUUGACGGUACCUAAUCAGAAAGCCACGGCUAACUACGUG
rnacentral:rRNA from 1 species